AUGACAGGAAGCAAGGUCAUGUGUGAGACGGAGGAGGCAACUGAUUUGGCUCUUCAUCACGUUGGGACUGUUGCAGCCAUGUGUGAUGUGUCAAUUUCUAUGAUGGGACAGAGGAGGAAGAGAAACAUUAGGCGCAGGAAGAAGAAGCAAGUGCACAAGACCACGACCACUGAUGACAAGAGACUUCAAAGAACUUUAAAAAGAGUAGGAGUCAACACUACCGUAGUGCAAGCUUCACCUCACGCGCUGACCUCCCAAACGAUCACUUCCCCGUCAGUCGAUGUGAAGACGUGGGCCGCGCCAGUGUGGUGCAAGUCCUCCAGUUUACCUGGCGGCGCGACACCAGCCCUCAUGGCACAACUUAGGAUGCACGGCGACCAUGGGAUAUAA
rnacentral:rRNA from 1 species